CCUACGGGCGGCUGCAGUGGGGAAUAUUGGACAAUGGGGGCAACCCUGAUCCAGCCAUGCCGCGUGUGUGAAGAAGGCCCUCGGGUUGUAAAGCACUUUCAGUGAGGAAGAACGCCUUGUGGUUAAUACCCAUCAGGAAAGACAGCACUCACAGAAGAAGCACCGGCUAACUCCGUGCCAGCAGCCGCGGUAAUACGGAGGGUGCGAGCGUUAAUCGGAAUUACUGGGCGUAAAGCGCGCGUAGGUGGCUUGAUAAGCCGGUUGUGAAAGCCCCGGGCUCAACCUGGGAACGGCAUCCGGAACUGUCAAGCUAGAGUGCAGGAGAGGAAGGUAGAAUUCCCGGUGUAGCGGUGAAAUGCGUAGAGAUCGGGAGGAAUACCAGUGGCGAAGGCGGCCUUCUGGACUGACACUGACACUGAGGUGCGAAAGCGUGGGUAGCAAACAGGAUUAGAUACCCUGGUAGUC
rnacentral:rRNA from 1 species